rnacentral:misc_RNA from 1 species
UACGAAGGGGGCUAGCGUUGUUCGGAAUCACUGGGCGUAAAGCGCACGUAGGCGGAUCUUUAAGUCGGAGGUGAAAUCCCAAGGCUCAACCUUGGAACUGCCUUUGAUACUGGGGAUCUUGAGUCCGGGAGAGGUGAGUGGAACUGCGAGCGUAGAGGUGAAAUUCGUAGAUAUUAGGAAGAACACCAGUGGCGAAGGCGGCUCACUGGUCCGGUACUGACGCUGAGGUGCGAAAGCGUGGGGAGCGAACAGG